CUACGGGAUGCUGCAGUGAGGAAUAUUGCACAAUGGGGGGAACCCUGAUGCAGCAACGCCGCGUGGAGGAUGACGCAUUUCGGUGUGUAAACUCCUUUUAUAUGUCAAGAAAAUGACGGUAGCAUAUGAAUAAGCACCGGCUAACUCCGUGCCAGCAGCCGCGGUAAUACGGAGGGUGCAAGCGUUACUCGGAAUCACUGGGCGUAAAGGACGCGUAGGCGGGUUGGAAAGUCAGGUGUGAAAUCCUACAGCUUAACUGUAGAACUGCACUUGAAACUUCUAAUCUAGAGUAUGGGAGGGGGAGAUGGAAUUAGUGGUGUAGGGGUAAAAUCCGUAGAUAUCACUAGGAGUACUGAAAGCGAAGGCGAUCACCUGGAACAUUACUGACGCUAAGGCGUGAAAGCGUGGGGAGCAAACAGGAUUAGAUACCCCCGUAGUC
rnacentral:rRNA from 1 species